rnacentral:rRNA from 1 species
GAUGAACGCUGGCGGCGUGCCUAAUACAUGCAAGUCGAGCGAACAGAUGAGGAGCUUGCUCCUCUGACGUUAGCGGCGGACGGGUGAGUAACACGUGGAUAACCUACCUAUAAGACUGGGAUAACUUCGGGAAACCGGAGCUAAUACCGGAUAAUAUAUUGAACCGCAUGGUUCAAUAGUGAAAGACGGUUUUGCUGUCACUUAUAGAUGGAUCCGCGCCGCAUUAGCUAGUUGGUAAGGUAACGGCUUACCAAGGCAACGAUGCGUAGCCGACCUGAGAGGGUGAUCGGCCACACUGGAACUGAGACACGGUCCAGACUCCUACGGGAGGCAGCAGUAGGGAAUCUUCCGCAAUGGGCGAAAGCCUGACGGAGCAACGCCGCGUGAGUGAUGAAGGUCUUUGGAUCGUAAAACUCUGUUAUUAGGGAAGAACAAAUGUGUAAGUAACUAUGCACGUCUUGACGGUACCUAAUCAGAAAGCCACGGCUAACUACGUG